rnacentral:rRNA from 1 species
UACGUAGGGGGCGAGCGUUGUCCGGAGUUACUGGGCGGAAAGCGCUUGUAGGCGGUCCACCAAGUUUGGGGUGACAGUUGCCGACUUAAUCGGCAAAGUGCCUCAAAGACUGGCGGACUUGAGGGCCACAGAGGGACAUGGAACUCCAGGUGUAGUGGUGAAAUGCGUAGAUAUCUGGAAGAACACCAAAGGCGAAGGCAGUGUCCUGGGUGGUCGCUGACGCUGAGAGGCGAAAGCCAGGGGAGCGAACGGG